rnacentral:lncRNA from 1 species
CUGAUUCCACCCCUAUUCUUCCACACUUUGGACUUGCUAUAAAAAAUCAUAUUUGGAGGCAAAGUGGAACAAGAUAUAUAGUUUUAGAGAAGCCUAGGCGUGGAAAUUAAAAAUGUCUAUCUAAAAGAACACAGUUACAUGGCCUCUGUUAAUGCUGGUUUUCUUUGUACUGUGCAUGAAUUCGUGGUGUGAACAUGGUGAAGCAGCAAGAAUCUUCUCAGACUUCUCUGCAAUUCCAGUUGUUGCAUAUCUUCCCUUUUACUCUUGAUCUCUCCUUUUGUUUUUAGACAAAACAAUGUGUGUGUGUUUAAAGUUUGUGUUUUAGACAUUUGAAUGUGUUGAUAUCGUUAUUGGCAGUGACGCAGAGGCUUGGCGGACUAGACAGCAACCGCCGGAGCACCAGGGAGUCUCCCGGAGGGAGCUAUCCUGCCCCGGCAGCUAAUGUAAACGACCAUGUACAUCACUAGCUACUGCUUGAUGUCAGUGGCGAAAUCAGAAAAUUCAAUAAGGAUAUUCAAAUUUUGAACACUCUUUGCCCAGUGGGCUACGUAAAGGUGUUCAAAAUCUAUUUAUUAAUUAAUAACAACUACUUAAUAUUUUACCUUAUACGUAGUAUAAUUUUUUGGCGAAAGGUGUUCAGUUGACCACCCUCGGGCCAACAUAGCUUCGCCCCCUGCUUGAUGUCAUAGUAUGUUGGAUUAUCUAUGUAACUGGAUCAAGAUUUAGUGACCUCUAUUUUGUUGUGGACUUCUCACUUAUAAUAAGAAGACUUUGUUUUGUCUGUGUUUAAGAGAUUUUUCUAUGAAAGCAAUGAGAGUAUAUUUUACUUAGUUUGUAUUCUUAAUAACUACAUCUUUUCCUGAAUCUUUCCAUGGAGGUCGAGUGAAAAAAAGUUACUUCCUUGACCUUUGAAUCUUUGAUGUGCCUAAAAUUUAGACUUCAUAAGAUGAACAGAAAAGGAAACGGUUGAUAAUUAUAAUAAAGAGAAGAUAGAAUCUUUGUUUCUACCUUUGAAUCUUUCCCAUGAUUGCCAUUCACAAAUGAACAUGAGUAAAAUAAUUGUAAGCAAAAAAGAGGUGUUUAUGAAAUGAUCAGUUUCUAUUUGGAUGAGAAGUUUUACACUAAUAUACACAACAUUUAGAUUUCUAACUCAUGGUUGUUUGGCCAAAAAUUUGGAGGAAAUGCAAGUUUCACCCCCUUAGAUGACAGUACCACUAGGAAUCAGUGCAUCCUUGAUAAUAUUAACAAUCCCGCUCUUAAUGAAGUAUCCAUUAGUCUCCCUAGCUGCUUCUUGAACACUGCCAAUAUUAGUGAUCUGACAAUAUAAAAUUCCAUGUUAGGGAAUCAAACUUAUUUAGCUCAUUCAUAUUAUGGAAAAAAAAAAUUAAAAGGAAAAAUCUAUGAGAUAAUUAGAGAAGUCAGUCGGACUAAACACAUAACUCGUCUUAGCUACUAGGUUCGCAAUUAAAUAUCUAUACAUAUUUUAAGAAUUUUAUUACAAAUACAAAAUUUAAGCAAAAGCUAUUAGGUUUGUCCGAAUCCCUAACUAAUGCUCUCCCUCCACCCCUGGCAGGACAUAUCAUCAUCAUAUGCUUCCUGGAGCACGCGGAACAAAUUUUGUGUAAAUGAGAAUUUCAGACAUAAUAAUAGCGGAGUGACUUCAAAAAAUUGAUUAGGUUUCCAACCUUCACAUUGUCCCGUACACGAGCAUUCUUGUCGAUAAUAGCUCUCUUUAUGUUUGACUUCUUGCCAAUGCCGAUUGGAACACUGCCCUUAGCAGAAAGAAACCUCCUGUCAGCAUCCCUCUGAACCGAGAAAGGCGUGAAAGUGAGUUUAAAGGCGUGAAAAGAAGUUUUUUUAUUUUUUGUUCUGUACUUUCAAUUGAUGCUACUUACUCCAUGCUAUCUCACAUACAGAGCAAGUCUAAUAACAG